UACGUAGGGCGCGAGCGUUGUCCGGAAUUAUUGGGCGUAAAGGGUGCGUAGGUGGCGUCGUAAGUCGGGUGUGAAAUCUCGGAGCUUAACUCCGAAACUGCAUUCGAUACUGCCGUGCUUGAGGACUGGAGAGGAGACUGGAAUUUACGGUGUAGCGGUGAAAUGCGUAGAUAUCGUAAGGAAGACCAGUGGCGAAGGCGGGUCUCUGGACAGUUCCUGACGCUGAGGCACGAAGGUCAGGGGAGCAAACGGG
rnacentral:rRNA from 1 species